CCCUGGGUGGUUCAGUCGGUUGAGCAUCUGACUUCAGCUCAGGUCAUGAUCUCACAGUUUGUGGGUUCGAGCCCCACGUCGGGCU
rnacentral:tRNA from 1 species